rnacentral:rRNA from 1 species
UGGGGAAUAUUGCACAAUGGGCGCAAGCCUGAUGCAGCCAUGCCGCGUGUGUGAAGAAGGCCUUCGGGUUGUAAAGCACUUUCAGCGAGGAGGAAGGUGGUGAGCUUAAUACGCUCAUCAAUUGACGUUACUCGCAGAAGAAGCACCGGCUAACUCCGUGCCAGCAGCCGCGGUAAUACGGAGGGUGCAAGCGUUAAUCGGAAUUACUGGGCGUAAAGCGCACGCAGGCGGUUUGUUAAGUCAGAUGUGAAAUCCCCGGGCUCAACCUGGGAACUGCAUUUGAAACUGGCAAGCUAGAGUCUCGUAGAGGGGGGUAGAAUUCCAGGUGUAGCGGUGAAAUGCGUAGAGAUCUGGAGGAAUACCGGUGGCGAAGGCGGCCCCCUGGACGAAGACUGACGCUCAGGUGCGAAAGCGUGGGGCAGCAAACAGGAUUAGAUACCCUGGUAGUCCAGCGCUGUAAACGAUGUCGAUUUGGAGGUUGUGCCCUUGAGGCGUGGCUUCCGGAGCUAACGCGUUAAAGUCGACCGCCUGGGGAGUACGGCCGCAA